UGUAAGUCGCGACUGUCGUGGCGUCUUGCUUUUUGGGGGUCUGCUGGAAUCGGCGGGCUGGUCCUAGAUCGCGGCGUAGGCCGGAUGGCGAGGAUUCCAGUCGGAUUGUGCGGGCCGUGGCGGGUUGGUGCACCCAGGAACGCGGCCUGGAGGGUCGGUGUUGAGUAGCGGCAGGUCGGCUGCCUUUCCCAGGCCUUCUGGUCCUUGCGCGCGUCGCGUUUGAGCCGGCUUGCCGGCGCGACUCGGCUGGAAUGUUAGUUUUGUGGGCUCACGAGCUGCCUCAAUUCUGCGAGUGUUUGAUGGCACUGCGACAGCAGGAGUUGAGGAAAGCACCCUUCUAUCCAUUCAGGACCCGUCAAUCUCGCCUUUGCUUGGUCCCGCUGGAAUCUGCGAGCUCCUGCUAAGCUUUGGGGCCAUGCAGUCUCUUAGUUACCAGUACAUGCCAUUACGUGCCAGCAAAGUUAAUGAGAUUGCAUGUUACUCGUGCCUGUGUAGUGGAAGGACCGAUGCAUGUUAUUCUAAGUGCCUGUGUAGUGGAUGGACCGAUGAGGGUGGGAAGUGGACAUAACCUUUCAAAGUCUGAUGCAUGCAGUGAAACGUACAGUGGGAAGAGCUAGAUUUAUGUUUGUUCCCCUCACCUCACUGUGAGAUAUACUUUGGUAUCAAAUUGCCGGUUAGCUU
rnacentral:lncRNA from 1 species